UUAAGAACCAACGCCACCUCCUUUGCUGCCUCGGGGCUGGCCUUGCUGCAAAAAGACUCGAUAGAAUUGAGGAGCACCAACUGAGAUCGCUCUUCUUUGAUUGCUGCUACUGCUGCUGCAAUGUAGUUCUUCUUUUUGGUUACUUCUUUUGCAAACCCUUUCCCAACAUCAUUGAAGAGUGCUAUAAAUUGAGCAUCCAUGACUUCUUUGGAGGUUCCAGUGAGUGAACCUAGGAAGGAUUUAAGCUGAUUUGGAGACGAUCCCUUCUUGAAGUAUUCCUUUAUCUCAUCAACAAGUUUGUCAUGAGCACCAACACCAUUCUCAUGAACCUUGGUCUCAGGCUCAGGAGACUUCUUAACCGACUUUUUCUUCUCUUCGUCGGUAGAAAGCAUCACC
rnacentral:lncRNA from 1 species